AACGAACGCUGGCGGCGUGCCUAACACAUGCAAGUCGAGCGCGAAAGUCCCUUCGGGGGCAAUUAGAGCGGCAGACGGGUGAGUAAUACAUAGGUAAUCUACCCCCGAGAUUGGGAUAACCCUGCGAAAGUGGGGCUAAUACCGGAUAAGACCACAUAACAUAAGUUGUGUGGUAAAAGGUGGCUUGUAUUUAUACUAGCUAUCACUUGAGGAUGAGCCUUUGGCCUAUCAGCUUGUUGGUGAGGUAAGAGCUUACCAAGGCUAUGACGGGUAGCUGGUCUGAGAGGAUGAUCAGCCACACUGGGACUGAGACACGGCCCAGACUCCUACGGGUGGCUG
rnacentral:rRNA from 1 species